GGCCUGCUAGCUCAGUCGGUUAGAGCUUCGUGCUAAUAACGCGAAGGUCGUAGGUUCGAUCCCUGCGCAGGCCA
rnacentral:tRNA from 1 species